rnacentral:tRNA from 1 species
GGAAUAGUUUAGUGGCAGAGUGCAUGCUUAGCAUGCAUGAGGUCCUGGAUUCAAUCCCCAGUAACUCUA